rnacentral:rRNA from 1 species
AUCAUAGUCUGAGACCCCGAAACUAGACGAGCUACUCCGAAGCAGUCUAAAAGGACUAACCCGUCUCUGUGGCAAAAGAGUGGGAAGACUUCCGAGUAGAGGUGAAAAGCCUACCGAGCCUAGUUAUAGCUGGUUGCUUAAGAAAAGAAUAUGAGUUCAGCCUUAUAAGUUUCUCAAAAAUCAAAAUGAAAGAAUAAAGUAACACAUAAGAGUUAGUCGAAGGGGGUACAGCUCCUUCGAAAAAGAACACAACCUUACCCAGGUAAAUAAGGAUUAUACUAAAAAAGGACAUGACUUUCAACAGUGGGCCCGAAAGCAGCCACCUCUAAUAGAAAGCGUUAAAGCUCAAGAACAGCCACACCAAAAAUAAAAAUAACCACUCCUAAUUUCCUAAUAAUAUUAAGCUACCCUAUUUUAUAGGAGAAAUUAUGCUAAAAUGAGUAAUAAGAGAAACUAGACCCUCUCCGGGCACACGUGUAAAUUAGAGCGGACAAACCACUGACAACUAACGGACCCAAAAAAGAGGGUAAAACAACAAAACUCAAUAAACAAGAAAAACCUAUUAAAACAACCGUUAACCCAACACAGGAGUGCCACUUAAGGAAAGACUAAAAGGGGAAGAAGGAACUCGGCAAACACAAACCUCGCCUGUUUACCAAAAACACCGCCUCCUGCAAAUAGAAUGUAUUGGAGGUCCUGCCUGCCCAGUGACAAUAGGUUCAACGGCCGCGGUAUUUUGACCGUGCAAAGGUAGCGUAAUCACCUGUCUUUUAAAUAAAGACCUGUAUGAAUGGCAAGACGAGGGUUUUACUGUCUCCUCCCCCCAGUCAAUGAAAUUGAUCUACCCGUGCAGAAGCGGGUAUAAAAACAUAAGACGAGAAGACCCUAUGGAGCUUUAGGCACACAUCAAAUAUGUAAAAAACCAAAUCUUCCAAAUAGGCCUAAAAAAUGAGAAAAACAAGUAUUAAUGAUUAAUUGCCUUCGGUUGGGGCGACCACGGGGAAAAAUAAAACCCCCACAUGGAAUGGGUAAAAUUAUCCUAAGCCAAGAAAAACAAUUCUAAGCAACAAAAUUUUUGACCAAUAAACGACCCAGGGACAACAUCCCUGAGCAAUGAACCAAGUUACCCUAGGGAUAACAGCGCAAUCCUUUCCCAGAGCCCAUAUCAACGAAAGGGUUUACGACCUCGAUGUUGGAUCAGGGCAUCCUAACGGUGCAGCCGCUGUUAAGGGUUC